rnacentral:rRNA from 1 species
CCUACGGGUGGCUGCAGUGGGGAAUAUUGGACAAUGGGCGAAAGCCUGAUCCAGCCAUGCCGCGUGUGUGAAGAAGGCCUUCGGGUUGUAAAGCACUUUCAGUGGGGAAGAAAGCCUUGGGGCUAAUACCCUCGAGGAAGGACAUCACCCACAGAAGAAGCACCGGCUAACUCCGUGCCAGCAGCCGCGGUAAUACGGAGGGUGCGAGCGUUAAUCGGAAUUACUGGGCGUAAAGCGCGCGUAGGCGGUCUGAUAAGCCGGUUGUGAAAGCCCCGGGCUCAACCUGGGAACGGCAUCCGGAACUGUCAGGCUAGAGUGCAGGAGAGGAAGGUAGAAUUCCCGGUGUAGCGGUGAAAUGCGUAGAGAUCGGGAGGAAUACCAGUGGCGAAGGCGGCCUUCUGGACUGACACUGACGCUGAGGUGCGAAAGCGUGGGUAGCAAACAGGAUUAGAUAACCCGAGUAGUC